rnacentral:rRNA from 1 species
AUUGAACGCUGGCGGCACGCCUAACACAUGCAAGUCGAGCGGCAGCGAGACUAGUAGCAAUACUAGUUGUCGGCGAGCGGCGGACGGGUGAGUAACACGUAGGAAUCUGCCCUUAAGCGGGGGAUAACCAAGGGAAACUUUGGCUAAUACCGCAUAAUCUCGAGAGAGCAAAGCUGCCCGCAAGGGUGGCACUUGAGGAGGAGCCUGCGUCCGAUUAGCUAGUUGGUGGGGUAAUGGCCGACCAAGGCGAUGAUCGGUAACUGGUCUGAGAGGACGACCAGUCACACGGGGACUGAGACACGGCCCAGACUCCUACGGGAGGCAGCAGUGGGGAAUAUUGGACAAUGGGGGCAACCCUGAUCCAGCGAUGCCGCGUGAGUGAAGAAGGCCUUCGGGUCGUAAAGCUCUUUAGGUUGGGAAGAAGGGUAUUGGCUGAAUAAUCCAGUACUUUGACGGUACCGACAGAAUAAGCACCGGCAAACUCUGUGCCAGCAGCCGCAGUAAAAC